rnacentral:rRNA from 1 species
CCUACGGGAGGCUGCAGUGGGGGAUAUUGCACAAUGGGGGGAACCCUGAUGCAGCGACGCCGCGUGGGUGAAGAAGGGCCUCGGCGCGUAAAGCCCUGUCAGCAGGGAAGAAAAUGACGGUAACUGAAGAAGAAGCCCCGGCUAACUACGUGCCAGCAGCCGCGGUAAUACGUAGGGGGCAAGCGUUAUCCGGAUUUACUGGGUGUAAAGGGGGCGCAGACGGCGAUGCAAGCCAGGAGUGAAAGCCCGGGGACCAACCCCGGGACUGCUCUUGGAACUGCGUGGCUGGAGUGCAGGAGGGGCAGGCGGAAUUCCUGGUGUAGCGGUGAAAUGCGUAGAUAUCAGGAGGAACACCGGUGGCGAAGGCGGCCUGCUGGACUGCAACUGACGUUGAGGCCCGAAAGCGUGGGGAGCAAACAGGAUUAGAUACCCUAGUAGUC